GCCACCCCGCCGCCGCUCCCUCUUGCAGUAAAGGCCGGGGGAGGCGAGUUGGUGUUCCUCUACGCGGACUGCGGCGGCGCUGCCUUGGUCCCCGAAGAGUGGUUUCCGGCUACCCACGGCGGCCGAGAUCGCCGCGUCGUUGUGGCCCGAUCUCCUCCACGGUGACGGCGUCGCAGGGGGCGGAUACAGGUCGCGUCGUUGUUGAUCGAUCUCCUCCACGGCGACGACGUCACAAAAGGCGGAUACGAGAGAUGUUGUGGCGAGCGAUUGAGAUAUCGCAGCCACCGAAAUCACUACGACCAUCGUCCAUGGCAGAGGAUGAGCAGGAUGGGGCCUGGGCGCACGAGAUCCCUCCGACCCUGCUGCCAAGAUCCCUCCGAGACCACGUCGACCGGAUCCGAUCAAAGGCGGGGCUGUGGGCUAAUUUCAUGAUAAUGAUUAGAUCCAAUUGCGGUUUCUGAUCCUCCUACUGUUGGGCUAAGAUAGUGGUUCAAUCUUCCGAACUCAUUCCUCAUAACUCCAAGAUUAAUCUUGAUUGAUGAGUGAACUGUAUGUUUGAGAUGAGGCUGUAUUAGAUUCUAUGGAUCCAUAUUUGCAUCAAAAAACUAUACACCUUA